UAAAGGAGUGAUGGGUUGAGAGAGAGCAGUAAAAUGCAAAGCUCUUUGUGAUUGGCAAUCUCAUUAAUGACAAUAAGGGGGAUAAGUCAGGAUCGUGUAAAAGGCCCCUUUCAGGGCUCUGCACGGGGGAGUGUUUGAGUUCCCCGUGCUUAUCUUCUAAAACAGGUGUCCACUCUCAGGAAGUUCCGCUCCUCCACCUCCUGACUUAGGCGCAGGCAUGAGCCCCGCAUGUGGAUCGUUUUGGGAAAGGACAGGAUUUUCUAACGCCAUCCACUCUGGCCCCUGGAACCCCGAGGUGUGAGUCGGGGAGGAAGCCCAUGUUUUCCGCCCUCAAGUGCAGGCGCCGCGGUGGCCGGCCGGGGAACCCGUUGCAGACCGCUUGGCCGAGUGGCCCAGGGAGGCCCGCCCGUCCCUCCAGCGCGUCUUCGCCGGGCCCUGGGGGCCGCGCCGGUUCGUCCCAACAUUAUUCAGCACCCCGCGUCAGCCUUGGCUCCGGCCCCUGGCGCGAGCCGCAGGGUUUGGCUGCCUCGGCCCCGUCUGAACCCUGCGGGCUGCGGGCCAGGGCGGGCCAGAGCCGCGCGCCAAGCCCCUCUCCUGACGCCUCCCGGCCCCGCACUGGCUCCUCCUGUCCGGCCUUCGGGCCGAUCUUUAACGCUUGCGAAGCGAGGGCUUUGCUGAAAGCUUUGCAGACUUGCGUGCGUCCGGGGCUUCCUGAGCUCCCCUCCGCCAGCCCCUAGCCGCCCCAGCUGGAAGAGCCUGCACCCCACGUGGAUGCGCACACGGAGCUUCUUCAGCGACACUGCCUCUGGUGCCGCCAGGGGUCCGCCCUGACCGCCGGCUCAGUGCCUCUCUGCGCCCGGGCGGAGGGUAGGUGUUAUCCACAUUCUGCAGAUGAAGUGGGAUCUCAUCCAGGCUGAGUGAUGGCCAAGGUUACACCCCAUAUAAGUGGAGACCUAUGACCUGCAACUGUCUCUAACUCCAGUGACUGUGCUGCCUGAAUAAGUGAGAAUGAAAAUGCA